GAUGAGUUUGAUCGUGGCUCAGGACGAACGCUGGCGGCGUGCCUAAUACAUGCAAGUCGAGCGCGGGAAGCGAGCUGAUCCCUUCGGGGUGACGCUCGUGGAACGAGCGGCGGACGGGUGAGUAACACGUGGGCAACCUGCCUGUAAGAUCGGGAUAACUCCGGGAAACCGGGGCUAAUACCGGGUAAUACUUUCUUUCGCAUGAAGGAAAGUUGAAAGAUGGCUUCUCGCUAUCACUUACAGAUGGGCCCGCGGCGCAUUAGCUAGUUGGUGAGGUAACGGCUCACCAAGGCGACGAUGCGUAGCCGACCUGAGAGGGUGAUCGGCCACACUGGGACUGAGACACGGCCCAGACUCCUACGGGAGGCAGCAGUAGGGAAUCUUCCGCAAUGGACGAAAGUCUGACGGAGCAACGCCGCGUGAACGAUGAAGGUCUUCGGAUCGUAAAGUUCUGUUGUUAGGGAAGAACAAGUACCGUGCGAAUAGAGCGGUA
rnacentral:rRNA from 1 species